GUACUUUUUUCCUGUUAAAUAUAAUCUUACAUUCUGUCCUGUACCAUACCUAAAUAACUACUCUUCAGGUAGUCUGAAAAUAAUGCAGUGUUUGUGAAGGGAGAUCAGGCCUUUAAGUAAAUGGCUUAUUGGCCACCUCCUCAGUAGCCCACAGGACCCAGACAUAUUUUCAGGAAUGACAGCAGUAUUUUCUGGAUCAGGACAGUCAUUCAGCAGAAAGCAUUACCAAUUUCUACCCAAACAAACUUUUCAAAUUCCUUGAUAGCACAUUAGUCUGUCUUUUUUUAAUACAUAGUGGUAGUUUUGCACUAGUCUGGACAACUGUUUCACUGAAUGGCAUUUGAAAAUAAUUACAGAUUAAUGAUUUCUUGUUCUGAUCACUUUUCUAUAGCAUGUAUGCUUUUCCCUCUUGUUGAUUUAAAUGUUGAAUAAUAUUACAGUGAUCACCUCUAGAAAUGGGAUUCUAUCUCAGAGACUUUCAUGUGUGGAAUUAGUGCCAAAGGAUGUGGACAGGACGCACAAAGCAGGACCUUUGGAAGCUAUGUGAUGUCACACCAACUUCACCGUUGCUCUUUGCCUGCAUGUAUACACUCACUAGCUGUUUUACUGGCUAACAUGAAACAGUCUCCAAAUAAAGUGUCCAUCAACCAGUGCUGGCCUUCACAUGUUGCAAAGGUACCUUUCAAAAUUGUACUGGAAAAAAUAUGCCACUGA
rnacentral:lncRNA from 1 species